CCCGAGUGAGCCCGUCUCGCCGCCCCUCGCCCUAUGACACGCGUGCCAGGCUGGGGCUCCGCCGCCGCGGCCGUGCCAGGGCAGGCUUUACCUGAUACCGGUCCCUUUCGGCUCGCCACGCCCCUCCCCUCCGCCAGUGGUGAGCAGGAGGAGCUCCGCGCGGGCGCCGCCCGGCUCUGGCUAUAAGAUCGAGACCGAAUCUCUCAGCGGAACCCACACAGCCGUGAGCAUGGCGUCCUCGGCGAGGUCCACUCCUCCGACCUCCAGGAGAAUGGACGGCGUCAACCUCCCGACCCACAAGUGCGACGUGGUCGUCAUAGGGGGAGGCAUCUCAGAUCACAUCAGGGUGACAGAAAUAUCCAGGGACCCUUUCGUCAAUAAUAAGAUCCUUUCUCAAAAAAAUCUGAACAUGCUGCAAAUGUAAUUUAUGUCUUAAAAUUAAUAAAAUCUCAUUUUUAACAGGAUUUAUCUUGUAC
rnacentral:lncRNA from 1 species